rnacentral:hammerhead_ribozyme from 1 species
GUACUGACGACGAGUCGCAAACCAGGACGAAACAGUUGUCCAGUAC